rnacentral:ncRNA from 2 species
GAUACUACCUGGGGGUGCUCGUUGAGCCGGGCUGAGAAGGACGGGCGAUGAACCGUUCUAACCCUUUGAACCUGAGACGGAUAAUACCGGCGGAGGGAAGGUAGGUGAAAAGAUC